GGCAAAAAGCCCUUCGGGGUAAAAGGCCUUUCUUAAUUUUUGUGCGAAUGGCUUAUUGGAUGAUUCAAAUUAAGACUUCCUGAGAUAGCUUACUUCCGUUCUUUUAAUGCACAUUGAGCUUGAUGUAGUAGCUUUUCAAUUUAUCGUCACAGAUCACUUUGAAUUUUUCUACCUAUCUCACUAUAAGAUGUUCCUUCAGAGUUGAAGAUUAUUACUUCCUAGUCCAAACCUCCCGCAGGACGACAGGGGAUGGGAGCGGGCAGGGUUUAAACCCUGGACCACUGACAAAUCUGAACGACAGUCCAGCGCGCAAACCGCACGACCAAAAAAUGUUAAGAAAUUACCAGAGAAAAACACAAGGCUCGUAUGGUCAACAUUCUUGACAGGAGCUUUAAAAGCUAUCGCUGAUGGGAUGCCACUUAACAAUGUCUCCGAAAAAAUUACAUUUAUAAUUAUUAAAUAUUUCACUUAUACUUUUUAAA